rnacentral:sRNA from 1 species
GAAGUAAAAGUCGUAACAAGGUUUCCGUAGGUGAACCUGCGGAAGGAUCAUUACAGAGAGGGGCUUCGCGCUCCAGGGGGCUUCGGUCUCCGACUCUCAACCCUGUGACAACUUACCUAUCGUUGCUUUGGCUGGCCUCGGGGUCAAGCUCGUGCCGGAUUUUCCCGGCGAGUGCUCGCCAUAAGCCCCUCUAAAACUCGUUUUGUUAGUGUCGUCUGAGGUUUUUUAUAUCGAAGAAGCAAAACUUUCAACAACGGAUCUCUUGGUUCUGGCAUCGAUGAAGAACGCAGCGAAAUGCGAUAAGUAAUGUGAAUUGCAGAAUUCAGUGAAUCAUCGAACCUUUGAACGCACAUUGCGCCCCUCGGUAUUCCGGGGGGCAUGCCUGUCCGAGCGUUAUUACACCUCUCAAGCGUAGCUUGGUAUUGGGCCUCGCUCAACCUGCCAUACCGGGGCGUGCCUGAAAAGUAUUUGGCGGUCCGGCGUGACUUUUGAACGUAGUAGAAAUCUCAACCGUUCUGAAAGCCUUUCACGCUGAGUCCGGCCGCAAAAACUCCUCAAAUCAAUUCAAGAUUGACCUCGGAUCAGGUAGGGAUACCCGCUGAACUUAAGCAUAUCAAUAAGCGGAGGAAAAGAAACCAACAGGGAUUGCCCUAGUAACGGCGAGUGAAGC